UGCAACAGUGAGCUCCAUUAUUAUCACAAACAAAUCAUCUUUAGUAAGAGUCUCCUGUGCUAUGGGUGGAUGACCAAAUGAGCCACCAGGCCCAGGAACCCCUAAGCCAGGGUUGCUGCGUGAAGUCACUGUUAUGAACUUUGCAUUCUUGUGCAUAGUCGAU